UUUCAGAAAUGAUGAUAUUUUCUUUGUUUUAAUACAUUUUCUUUAAAAAUAAAAAAAAAUUAAUACCAUGACUUGACU
rnacentral:miRNA from 1 species